rnacentral:rRNA from 1 species
UUUUAAUUUGCCUUUAAGGUUAAAAGGCCUUAUUCCCCCAAAGGGACGACAAGACCCUAAAAACUUUAUUCCUUAUUAUUGAACAAGAAUAUAAAAAAGAGGAAUUUUACUGGGGCGGUAAAUUUUAACAAAAUUAUUUUUAACACUUUGCGUGAUUUAAAAGUACAUGUAUACAUACAAAGAAAUAGUUACUUUAGGGAUAACAGCGCAAUUUUCCCAGAGAGUUCUAAUCGGCGGGAAAGAUUACGACCUCGAUGUUGAAUUGAGAAUCCUACUGUAGAGCAGAAGCACAGAAAGGGAGUCUGUUCGACUCUUAAAUUUUCACAUGAUCUGAGUUCAAACCGGA